rnacentral:lncRNA from 1 species
GCCCCGCAGCCAAGUUAGCCAAAGCAGCCCAGGGCCGCCGCCCAGCGCCCCCGAGCCCCGAGGAGAGCCGUCGCGACCGGGGGCUGCCUGGGCAAGGGCGGGGCGAGAGGGCAGAACGCCUGCUCUCGGACAGGGUGUUCUUAAAAUACACCGGAAAGAACGGAGGUAAAAAUACUGGAGUGUUUCCUCCACACUGGAAAGAGAGGAGGUGGGGACGGAUAUGGUAUUUGUAGGGCAGCGCUGUGAACAAUGGAGCCAUCAAAAAGGCCUUCUCCCAGCCUCCUCACCAACCACGGACAUUCCUGGCCCAACAAGACCUCCUGGCCAGGUUUUGAGCCCUGCUUCCCAGUUUCUGAAAGAAGGACCAAAGUAAUGCCAAGAACUCCCAGAUGAAGAGGACCUUCCUUAGACCUAUAACAGAUUCACUACUUGACUUCAGAGGGAAGUUUCAGCUAAUUCUCAGGAAAAGGUCAAAACAGGCCUGUGACUGUCCCUUGAAUACUGAAGGUAUAAACAAGCUUCUGGCUCCUCCAGGUCAAGCAGAGGAACACUUUUAUUAGAAUGAAGGGUUACUUCUUUGUUAUUCAAACACACACCCACACACAUCCUCUGUAGUCUCCCUAAUGAAAAACCUCAACAGAUGGAGAGCCUGAGCUCCCAAGUCCGCAGGCUGAGAAGAUGCACUUCACUCAAGGGCCAGUGGGCUGGUACAGACUAGGGAAGAGAAAAGGGACAAAGGCUGCUAGUAUAGGUAAUCACUAUCUUUUAAUACUCCUAACACAUAGAAAUUCGAAAAAUCUUGUUCAGCAAUGUUAGCAGCCUGUGAGCCUCGGAAACUAAUUUGGCUGAUGUGUCUCUGAUAGGGAGCUUGGGGCUGCACCAAGGGGAAACAUUCUCCUCCUGUAUUCUCUCCUCUCUCUCGUUUGAAAGCCUGUACAAAGAAAUGGUACAAAUGGAUGGUUAACUUAAUGAUUCCAUCAGAGGCAGAUUUUUCUCUGUCAGGUCCCUGGAUAAGGUGGAGGUCUGAAAGCCAGGAGACAGAAUAUGUACUUAAUCGCCCUUUCUGACCUGCUUACCAGUGACCAGGACUACUCUCCAGGCCUUUCUUCUGCCACUUCCCCAUUCUUCCUGGCUAGUUCAGUUGGGUCUCAGCACUUCAACUCCUGGCUGGAUCCUGAGUUUUUCUUGGUUGCAGGGAAAGCUCUCACUGUCUGCAUCUCCUUCCCCACCCCCACCUCCCGUUUUGCAGCUGGCCAUUCUGGCUGCCUCACAGCUAUCCUGCCUUAAUUCAUAUUUGAUUGCCUGGACAGAACCACCUAGAAUGUCCAGACGACUGCCACCCCUCAGCCAUGGGCCUGAGAUCCUGCCCUGACCCCUUUCUUCAGACCCCAGGAGGACCCACAAUCUCCCUGAUCCCCACCUUCCCCAAAGUAGUCUCUAGGAAAAAAGCAGAGCUGGCUAAGGCCUGAGACAGAGCCAUUUCUUCCCCUUGGGCAAACGAGGUAGACCCUCCCAGAGACCAAUGCCGGAGAGGCCCGGAUCCGAGCUCCCUUUAUAUGGCCUCCCCCAUCACGGAUCCCGUGGGAAAACCUGACACACAAUGGCGCGGCUG